CUCCUGUGGGGCGGCUCACGUGAGGAGCCCCGGUGUUGGUGUUGGUGAGGUGAGGCGCCCCCCUGGCGCUGCUGCGUUUGGCUCAGCGCCGCAGACCACAAACUGCGGAGAACUGGGUGCCUUCCUUUCCUUCCUGCUUUCCUUCCUGCUCCCUGUGGCUCUGUGGCUGCCGUAAUGCCGCGCAGUGUUCUAACUCAGCAAGCUCUGCGACCCUCCCCCUACGUAUAUCUAUCCCUACCUAUGUCCUUGCAUGAAUAUAGGUAUUUUAUUGCUACCUAUUUGCAGCCAGCUACUCAACAUCAUGCCGAGCCUGGCGUCUCCCCACGCCUGUUUGCUCAGCCCGGCCUUAGCAGCACCUGCUGGCUUUUCCGAGUUGCUGGGAUCCCCCCGUGCUGCUCUGGGGUCACGCGAUGCAGGGCUAGCUUUACUCGCCGGCUCAACAAAAGCUCCGGCAUCAUUCAGUGCCUAUUUUGGGCUCCGUGACCUGCAGUGAAUGACAGACGAGCCCUAUCCUGACUGUCACCCCCUCCUUGCUCUUUCCCGCUUGUACCCCCCCCCCCCCCCCCCUCCCCGGCCCAUUCCCACCGCUGUCAUUAAGGGCAAAUCAGGUGUUGAAACCAAAUCCAUUUCCCCAAACCAGCCUGCACCCCCACUGCUCCCAUGCCUUGGGAUGCGGGCACUGCGGUGCCUAUCUACAUCCAUUUGCCCUCCUAUGCAGCUUAGUGCCCACCUGCACAUCUGUGUGCCCACCUACACCUCUGUGUGCCCACCUAAACAUCAGUGUGUCCACAAAGCUGAGCAUGGCCCCCGUGGGGCAAUACAACUGUGUCCAAAAUGCAUCAGGCCCCGUUACCACAGUCUUGUCAGCCACACAUAACGGUCCCGUCCAGUGAAGAGCCACCCGGCGCCAUUUUCUUAAGGCCCUGAUGUGGCCCUAUGGCUGUGGCAGGCAGUGGGUGACAUCUGAGAAGACAUCUGCGUUGAUGAGUGCAGUGUAGUGUUCUAAGGGGAGGCUGGAAAGGGCUUGUUCUCCUUUGAAAGGCAGCCAAGAAAAUGCACAGUAAAGCGAAGCAAAACAAAAACCCUAUGUUUGUUGGAGCUCCCAUUCCUUGAUGGAUCUUCCAGCAAGCAGGAGGCCCAAUGGUGGGAGAUACCUGCACUCUGAGGCCCCAAAAGGUCCCGAGACCUUCUACAAGGUGGUCUUAUAUUGAUCCUACAGAGGCACAAAGGUGUUGGGCAGCCAUGCCAGGGCCUUAAGAAAAUGGCGCCGGAUGGCUCUUCACUGGAAGGGACCAUUAUGUGUGGCUGACAAGACCUUGGUGCUGCUUCAUGGCAAACAUUCCUGCACUGACGUGAUUGAGCCACCAGUCUGUUUGGUGAUUGAAGCUCUAACCACAGGUCAUCCUCCCGUGGGCUUGGUGAAGGAUCUCAGAAGGAUUUUGGUGACUGACAGGGGAGGAGAGCGUUACUCAGGCCUCUCUUGCUCCACCUGGCCAAGUGGAGCACAAGGAGGCAUUUGACUGGCAAGUAAUUGGUAAUUAGAUGUUGUACAUGUGUGCACUGGAGCAUGGUGAACCUGGCAGUGAAAAAGCAUGCAGACUGGUCAUGAGUGAGGUGAAAGGAGCAGUUAUGACCUCCCAUGGGUUCCCCUCGGUGAGCCACUUCUGUAUCUGCUUCUUCGAUCUGUUGCUGGGGGGUCUUGUGGGACUGUAGGGAAUGAGAGCAGGUUAUGGUGCUAGGGGGGGCCUGGUGCCUGCUGACCCAUGGUGCGUGCCAUGUGCCAUGUCCUCAUCCAGCUCUGCCCCACACCAGCCUUCCCUGCACCGUCUCAGCUGGAACAAGCUUGUUUCACUAGAGAGAGCACUUAGUAAAUCCUCUUAAUUAAUGCCAUAUUUGCUUCCCUUCCUUAGUUACAGAGCAACAAAAGAAUUCAGCUGGAACCUUUGCUUUUAGUUUUCUUUGCAGCACUAAAUGAAAUGCCAGAAAACAACUAUUUCUCUUGCCCAAGCCACAUGUAGCAACACAUAAAAAUUCCCUUAUAUCCCCUUUUGGUGUCAAACAGGGAGCCUUGCAUUCCUUUCAAUGACAUGUCACCACUGCUCAGGUUUUGCUGGCGACUCCAUGGGUUGUCUCAGAGCAGUUCCUUGGAUUGUAAAGCUGUCUGUGGAUUGUAAAUCACGUUUAGUGCCUUUUAGCUGUUUCUCAAGGAGAGGCUUUGCUGAAGCGUAGUCCACAGCUUUGGUGCAGUCCUGGAGGCUCCUGUGGGCUCUGGUGGUUCCUCCUCUGGAGCCAGAGGUGGCUGUAGGACGCAGCAUGAGUGGAUGCAACAGGGCUGAGUGGCAUCACAUCCUGGGAGGAGGCUCGGAGGAGAACGAUGGCAUAUUUUCCCCAUUACUCAACAUCUUCCCUCACAGUAAUGUUCUCUUCUGCAGGGGUGGAUGGUCUUGGUGCACACAUGUUGGUGUUUUGCAGCAGCCCCAAGUGAUUUUCUGCCUAGCGCAGCAUGUGAGUAAGAGAUGCUAAAACCCAGCCAGGAACAAAUGAGGUCUGUGUUCCGCUCAUUGGCCUCAGCACUGGGGAGCCUCUCCCAGGCAGGUCUGUCCCUGCCUCCUCUGCUGCUGCAUACCCCAGGCAGCCAAAGCCAUCCACAUCCACGGGCCAAACUUGGGAAUGGAAAAUCACAAAUCUAAAUCAAGGCCUUUCAAUCCUCAGUGAAUUAUUCCAUCCUCGGUAUGUUAUGCUUGUUAUGGGGGCACAUAAAAUCCUCAGUCCAGGAUACACCACUGCUGGGGUAGGCACACCACAAGCAGAAGAUGUCUUCUUUGCUCUCAGAGGCCCCUCGUCAGGGUAAGCACAGUGGGUGGUUGCCUCCAAAAACAGAGGGCAGGCCUGGAAACCAGCUGGCUGUGUGUGUGACUUCUGGGUAGCACGGGGCCAGCAGCUGCCUGAGGAACAGCCUCAGGAGUUGGCAGUGGGACAGCUAACGCUGCUGAAGGAAAGGACACCUGGGGUCACUGCCAGGUUCCUGCCAGGUUCCUUGCACUGAGUUUGCAGCUGGUAUAUGUAAUACAGUCUUCUGCUGUGUCGGGUCCCACCAACGUCAACAGCAUUUGUUACUCUAAAGUUGGGUUUGGACCAUGAUGGAGCUGGUCCUUCAACGCCAUGCAUCCCAACUGUCUGAAAGCACUUUCUUUCUUUUUAUUUCUGUUGUUUCCUUAAGUUACGAUGUGAAAUGUAACUGCUACAUAACUUUGCUGGAGAAACCCAGAAGCAGCCAGGGAUGCUUUACAGGCUCACCAAGGGCAAUGCAAGAUGCUUUGCUUCAUCAAAGAGGCUUUGGCACAAGCUACGGUUUACUGGUGGAAGAGCUCAAAGCUUUCCCUGAAUGCAGACUGCUUGCAGGAGCCAAAUCCUUCAGUUUUCAGUGAAAACCUUGGAAACCAGCUCCUUAGGAAUGACAAAUGGCAGAGUUUGCCAGCUGGAAGCCUCUGGGAAGGGAAGCAACAAGUUGAUGUGCUGCUGUGGGGAAUGUGCCUGCGAGGGGGACAGCGCAGACAUGAGCUGGUGCCGGUCAGGCUGUGCUGGGAGUGAGGGCUGUUCUGCUCCUCAGCUGACUGAAAAAAAUCAAGACCAUAAAGCUGGCAAGACCAUGCAAGAGGUUAGGCUGGCAUGACAUGCUGAGUCCCCAGGGCACGUGCUGCUUUGCCUCCAUGUGCCACCACCAGGUCCUUGCUGGUGCCACCUCCUUGAAGCCCGGUGCCAGAUCAACCUCCUCACCUCCCACCUGGUGGCAAUACAAAGGUGGCUCAGCCCCAGCAGGUGUGUGUCAUGGGCACAGCCUACCCUAUCACCUGCUCUGUCAAUGGAUCUGCGAGGAUCCCACACUUUGAGGACUUUGCUUUGCCUUUCCCAGCAUCCCCUUUCCUGCAUGGUGGUUGCCACUCUGUGGGACACAGUGGCUGUGGGGGGACACAAACCAUGGAGACAGGAACAGGAGAACUUGCCAGGAAAUAAACUGGAGGCAGGAGGCUGCAAUUUUGGUGGGGUCAACUCAUGAUCUCAGCAUAAGGCAGAGAGUAAAGUUGGCCUUCUAGAAAGUUAGAUUAGAAGAUCCCCUAAGCUUUUAUGAGAGACCUCUGCAAAACCAUCAGCAGAAGCAGUCAAAAAGCAAAUUAUAGCCAUUCAUGGGAACUGAAGGAGCUCCAGUGGCUGGCAAGACAGCCUUCCCUUCAAACUUCAUGGCCUUCUUCAAGAGUUUCCUGCUUCACUGCUCGCCUUCUAUUGAGGCCAAACAGGUGGCACCCAGACAACUGUGCCACUUGGCAAUUGGAUCUUUUAAAGCUGAUUUAGGGAGACUUCCUUCUGGCUGAGUAUGGCUUUUGGACACAUCAGAUGGCUUAAAAAAUAAAUGAGAUAUGGUCAACUCAUCACCCAGUGGAACCUGGGGAGAGAGUGGAUUUCUGCAUCGAUCGGCUCUUGCCUAAAAAGAAAGGUACAAUAUAUCUUGGCCUCUCCCCUGUAAUGGAGCAGCUCUAGCAUGUCGCCCUUCGCUUCAAGGUUUGUCAACAGGGCUGAGUCAUUGCUGCAGCUAACUGGAGCCUUCAAGCUGAUUAUGAGGAUUGCAAUAAGUGGAGUUACAAAAUCGCUGGGUCUGAUACUCAGUAAUACAAAAGCCACUUUACGCUGACCUGGACUUAAAAUACCCCAGGAUAAUGUACAGUGCUCUGGGAGCAAAUGGGAUGGAUCCUGCAGCUGGUGGGAGCAGCGUGUACGUGUAUCGACCGCCCCAUCUGCCCUUCAGUGAGCUGAAAACAUCAUUCUGGCCACACAGCACUCAACCUCCCACCAAAUUAAACAAGUACCAAUUCAGGCAGCCAUCUGAAGGGCUGGCUGCUAUUGAUCCCAUAAAAGUGGAAUAAAGCCUUGUGGAGGCCAUUUGUGUGUUCCUGUGGGGGUGUCUCAAGAGAAGACCUCACCCAGUCAGUAAAGCUCCCCACUGGGUCACUUCUGCCAGCACACCAUGGCUGGGCUCUCCCUAAACUUCAGGUGUAUUUUAAACUCAAUGUAAACCUGAAAAGAAGAGCUCAACUUCUUUCUAUCAGUGAUACAGAGAAAGGAAAGGAUCUGUUUUUAAAAUAACUCAAAGCAAUCAUUUUCUCUUGUCCACAGAACAGCUUCUGAUGUGAAAGUGGCAGGGAGGUGUGAUGCUCAUGGCCUGGGGUGACCACCGGUGCAUGCCCUGAGCCGCCCUGCCCUCAUGGAGAGGAGCCCAGCAGCAUGGGAACGGCUGCAUCCCGUGGUCUGGGGAGUCCUGACUCAGAGAGCAGGCAUGCACAGCAAUAAUCCUGGUGGAGAAAGGGAGCUGCAAAGGGAAGCCUUAUCUCCGGGUGAAGUAUAGGUCCAAAAAUACGACAAUAGUCAUGAGACCUGUUGCCCUGGUCACUCUGUGUAAGGUUACCGCCACGAUGACAUUUGGGUGACAGCAUCAUCUGUCAUGGCUUUGAGCACAAGUAGGUGUACUAAGGGGUUAGGUUUCACUGUUGAUAAAAUCAUGCAAGAUUUAGGAGGGUUCAAGGUUGUUUUUCAGCCUGAUCAGUGCCUGAAACCAUGCACCUCUGAGCCCUGAUUGCCACCAUUCGGGUUCCAGAUUGCCUCCCACUCACUUCCCAGGGCACAGAAACCCUUGGAUGUGAGGUGAACCUGCAACAGGGACAAGAAAGUGGAAAAUCUGGCCAAACCAGUAGGCCCAGCUGGCGGUAUCAGGAAAACUGAAUGACCCUGGCUGGUGGAAACCCCGACUCCUGCAGCCUAGAUGUGCUGCCUUUCCCCACCAGCAGCACUUUGGGGAUGCCAGAAUCCUUUGUGGUCAGAUUCGUGCCCUGGUGAAGGAGAGCUCUUAGAAAAGACCUUCCUCCUGAAAUGAGGGGAUUUGCUGAGAGACCUGUAGAAACCACGGGAUAACCACGUGGCAGUGGCACACCCAGCAAGUUGGUGGAGAGGAUGGGAUGGGGCAGGACGAGACGAGAUGGGACGGGAUGGGAUGAGAUGAGUGUGGGUGCCUCCACCAACGAAGCAAAUAGAGCUUGAAUUGCUGCCACAGCCCUUUUGGACGAAAUUGUGGGUCAGGUAGGAUGAUGAACUGCGAAACAUCAGGUAUCUGUGUGGGUAAGAGUGCUUGUGUAUAAAUACACAUCAGUAGGUAUGAGUGUGCUUCUCCCGUGCAUGGGAUGCUGAGAUCCUGAUUUGCAGUUUCUUCUGAAAUGAGGGUGCAGUGUGGAUGCAACCUGCACUGUGCCAGCUGGCUCCUAGCGCCAAACCAGCCUGGUUUUACACCAGCACUGCCAUGCACAGCAAACAUUAAGUGGCCAGGAGCAAUCCCAAACACCGGAUCUUAGUCCCAUUUAUGCUAGCACACCCCCAAAGGGAAUUUUCACCUUCGCAUCUGCUCCCACAAACACACAUAAAUAACAGUAAACCAGCAUGGAAAAAAACAUCCAAGGUUGCUAGGCACGCUGGAGCUCCAGCAUAAACAGCAAAGAGAAAUAAGCUCGGCACUCUGGAUUUGUGAGGUCAUUGGAAGCUUCAGAUCUAAAUGCCAGAGCAGGCAGUAACGCUUGGUGGGAAGGGAAGCGAGUGCCCUGCUGCUGCACAAACAGGGCUAGGCAGAAGGGAUGCUGGGCAGGGAGGGCUUUGGCAAUGCAUCCUUCCCAUUAAAUCACUCCCGCGUGUGUUCUGAGGGGACCUCUGCCCAUCUGAAUGUCUCCCCACAUGAUUUUUUUUCAAGAUAAGGCGAUGGUUUGCAAUUCCUCACAUUCCGCUUUCCGUCUCUUCUUCCAAAUACACCCUCAUAUAUUUUACCACGUCUCAGCAGCACGCUGAGGCAUAAGUGAAAUACUUCCAGUGGCUGUGAGUCGCUGUCCCGCGGUGAACUAACAAACACAGCAAUAAAACCCUUGCACAUUUUUCUUCUGAAGGAGACAGCAUGUCCAUUGUCAUCACUUCUUAAGAACUGCUAUUAUUAGAUCUGGUUUUAAACAGCUGCCUGUUCCCCCGGUACUUUAGUCAGAGCGAUUGCUAAAUAUAUGUUAUUCAUUCUUACCAUAAGUUGUUCUUUUGAUAUUCUGAUAUACGUUAACUUUGUUAACAUCUCAUUUCCAGAGAAAUGAAAAGGAAAUGGCCAGUGCUAUUCAGCUAGCAAGAGCUCGUUUCCUAAUCCUCACAGUGAGGGUAUCAGCAAGCAACUGAGCCGCAUUAGCAUCUACUGGGACCCAACCUGUGUCCUGAUGUAACAUUCCGGGAAGAUACAGAACAAUGCAAAGCAUGAGGAGUUCUACCACUCAUUUGGGAAGACAUUUGGGAAUGCUCAGCAGUGGCUGCACACCCAGAGCUCUGACAGAUCAGCCUCUGCUUACCCCUCUGGAGAGGGACCAUCGCCUCCUGCAUAUCCUUGAGGAAAAGGAAUGAGUUCUGCAGGAAGAAUACUGAGAUCUGUUCUUCCAGAAGGACAACACGAGUGUUGAGAUGGCUUCAAGAUGGGCAGGAGCUCCAAUAUAUGCACAAAGAAAAUAAAAAGAGAUGGAUAAGAUCCACAGCUGGCGCUGCUCAGUCCACCAAUCUGUCCUGGGCAAGAGCCCAGUGAUGGCAUAGCUACAUCUCUUUUAGAUACUCUCCUCGGGCAUCUGGCCCAUCUCAAGGCCAGAUUAAGGCUUACCUAAGCUCUCCUGCUGCCUUAGACAGGUGUGAGAUGGAGUACUGUGACUGAUUCAUCUUUGGCAAAGGACAUGUGUACCUGGGAGAGGAUGGCAUAGGUCUCCUUCCUCUGGGAGGAGGAGAUAUAAAGCUGUUGGGGAAGAGAUGGUUUUCCCGUGUCCCAUCACAUGUGCCUGAUGUUGGAGCACAGCAGAGACCAGUGCUGGUUCUGUUGUUGCAGUCAUUCAACAUCCUGAGCACACCACCAAGAUCCUCCAAAAUCUCUCUCUCUUUGUGCUGGAUAUACACGAAGAGUCAGAGAAGGGAAUGUGCCAUUAUUACACAGUUCAGUGAACAAUUGGUGGCUGACAAACAAUAUGGCAAAGCCUUACUGGUCAGCAUUACCUGUUUUCUGGCUUGCCUGUUCCUUAAGAGAUGACUGAGAGCUUUUCUUGCUCCACGUCCCUGUGUGUGUGGUACAUGGCUGUCCUGUCUUCUCCAAAGCCGAACCUGUUAACAGCAUCCUGCAGCUGAGGAUUUCAGCUCAUUUUUCCACCGGCUAUUUUUUAGAUACGAUUCACUUCUUCUUAUCACCUUGUUUUGGGAAAAGGAGCUGAGGGGCAGAGAGGGGUUAUCUGUCUGUUGCAGGAGAGGAUGUGUCCUGCAGAGCCAGGAACAGAACACGUUUCCUGAGUUUACAACCUAAUCUCAAGUAGUAUUCCUGUUUGAGAAUGGAAGAGAGGGUGAGCAGCAGGGGGCAGGCAUCAAGUUUCUGACACAAAGCGUGUAUGAAGUUCAUUCUUCUCACCCAAGGUAAUCUGCCCCUCAUGCAGACUUGUCCUGGAGGCAGGUGCCCAUCCGGUGCGGCCUUGGCACGGAGCCUCUUUGCAGUGAAAGAGGGAAAAGAGGGGGCUGCUACCUGCCCUGCUCCUCCCCUCCUGGUCCCCUCCCCCUGUAAGUACAGAAGUGGAAGAAGAUUUGCCUUUCUUUUAUUUUCUGGUCAGCUAUUUGAAUUCUCCAGGCUCACAGGUUGAGGGCGAAAAGCUCUUCGUGCUCUAACUCCCUCUCUGCUAGCUCCACCUGGAGGCCUCAAAAAAUGCUCACAUUUUUAAUUUAAUUAUUUAUCCAGUUAUAUUUAUAUUAGGAUAAUGUGGCACUCAGGGCUUCUCUCACUACUGAAACAGUAUUGGCAUUGGCACUGUCUUUUUGUGAGUGAUGCAGGUGAGAUCUUGCUAUUCUCCCCAUGUAAAAGUUAUGUUGGUGAGAAGACCGUGCAGCCAACAAGCUCCAGAAGAGGCAUGGAGACAGCAGCAACUGUGGGUGCAGGAACCACCCAGGCAUAAAUGCCAGCACUGGGUUAAUUAUGCCAAAAUUGGAGUAGCACCAAAGUGACACGUCACAUUCCUGGUGUUUCUCCUCUGAUAGCAAAUCCAUGCUGCAAUCUCAUGUCCAACAGUGCUGCUGCUCUUGAACUCUGAGUCUGCUAACAGCUGAGUGGUGACACAUCUGUUGGUUUAGACUAUUUUAGGAGACAACCUGCCCUCUUUUAGUCAUUUUGCAAUGGGAAAAUUUUGGAUGCAACAAAAUCAUAUCUUUAAAUCAUCUAAACCGUUAUUCCUUAUCUUUUCCUACUGUGUUGCAAUGGGGGCUAACCUGAUCCUUGUACUCUGCUCACCUCCUGCACACCCUUGCAGGUCCUGGGCUUUCAGCAUGGCUGUAAGGCUGGCAAAGCUCAUGCCCUGCUGUGGCUCUCACUGCUUUACAAUCAUUCAUCCAUUUCAUUCAUCCAAAGCUUGCUGCCCUUCUCCAUCCUCAUCCUGGCUGGAGGUGGCAGACAUCCCCAUGUCCCUCUGGGGCCAUAAUUUGUCAAGAUCUCUCAGUGAGGCCUCUCCACCAUCAAGGGUGUCAACAGUUCUUUCCAGCAUAGCAUCAUCCACAAAGCUCAAGUCCUGCAUCCAGGUCAAGAACUGGCCCCACAUGGAGCCUCACAGAACCCCACCGGUGUCCGGCCACCAGCCUGAUGGAACCCCAUCUACUACAACGCUUUGAGCCCGACCCAACAACCAAUUGUACACCUAUUGUGCUCUAACUGUAUGCUGGGCAUUUUGUCUUUGCAAUUGAUGGCUGAGAAGUCCUAGCUGGCUGUGGAUUAUGGGAUGUAUUUCAUCUGCGGUCCACAACUAUGAGUUGGUUUGAGUUCAUGCAGCUCUUAACACAUUCAAGUAAUAAAUCACUCCCACGCAUAUGAUGAGUAUGUGUUUCUGAGAAAAAGCAAGCAAAGGUCUCUGUGUAAAGGCUUUUAUGUCAUUUAGCUACAGAACACUUGAUGACUGUACUUAGCAGACUCAGAGAAGCCUCUGUGCAUUCACAUCUUUGGUAGUAAAUAUACAUGAUAAAAGGUUCUCAAAAACCCAAACAAGAGGGCUUAAUUCUAAGCUGAAGAUUGCAACUCGGCCCACAGUUUGUUUACUUGCAUUUAGAGUACUUUAUUGUACGCAUCCCUCUGCUCCUCUUCUGUUGACACCACAGCACUUAUCGUGCUCCUCUGCAAAGCUGCCGCUUUGGAGAUGUCAGGACGUUUUUUCAACGCGACUUGGUGUUUGAACACAGAUCAGUUACUACUAUUUUCAGCUGAGCCAUAGUUAUGCUCUGAGAUCUGCUGUUUGGAAUGCAAAAUGUGCUUGUAAACCUAAAAAAAAAUCCCCAAAAUGUGGAGAGAAUAGUGCCAAUGAACUCUUCCAGUACAACUAUCCUCAUUUGUGUACAAUAUGGAGCCUUGAGAGCAUGCUGCAUCUGUUCCACUUGCCAGAGUUCUCUUGCCUCCCCUGGCAAGAAUCAUGUUUCAAAUCCUAUUGAUUUUCUAUGACAUGAUGCCUUAUAAAUAAGCCCAGAGUGUGAAUCUCCACUGUUAGCAUCAGCGUAACAUUGAUUUUGAUUCAUCUAUAAGAACUGGAGUUCCUGGCUUUCCCUGCAGUCACUGCAAAAAGAUAACAAGAGGAGUAUCUGCAGUAGAAGAACGAGGCACGAAAAGUUUGAGAUCAAUAUUUUUGUUCAUUGGGGAAAAGCUUCAUUUCUUCUCUCUUCUUGAGGUAAAUGAGAUGACAAGAGAGCGUAUCGAGCACUGAGCUUAAUUAUGCACUUGUUUUGAUAUACCAAGUGACAUAAGCACCACUUCAGCUGAAGUGAGUUUUCUCCUGGAGAGGGAUGCUUUCCAACAGACAUCAACAAAUCCCAAAGAGCCAGAUCUUCCACACAACUUUAAACCUAAACCAAACCCCCUUCUUCCCCGCGCUGCCAUAGAUCUGGCAGUAUGGCAUUGUGCACACUGGCAAGAUUCAGCACUUCUGGCUUUCAGGAACACAUAGGCACUCUUUUCAUCACUUCCAUCAGCCUGUAGCCAUUCCAAGCCAAGUAACGGAGGGAGCUGUUACCCCUGUGUCACCCCGUGUCACCCCUGUGACAUGCAUUGCCUUCUGAAAGGAUGCAGCAUGCUACUUGCUGGACUGAAAGCCUUUGGUUCCCCGGGCUCAUGUUGAAAUGACUUUGCAUGGAGCACCAGAAGGCACUCACAGCAUCACAAGUUUUCCUCACCUCCUGAAUUUCUGUGCAAGUUCCCAAAUGGGCGUGGAAAUACAAACGCAUGACAUUCACUCCUUGUCUUUGCUCCACAGGUAAGCUUCAGAGGGUGCAGAGGAAGGAGAAAAGCCAUGCACUUACAAUAGCAAAAAUGAAGUGUGUGUGCUACUUGCCCGCUCCCAAAGUGCCGCAACAUUUCCCAUGUUCUGAAAUGCUUGCUUUUCCCUUUCAAGUAUUUAUGCUUAGUAGCUCUUUGGUGCAUUACCGUGAUUUCAUUUAACAGAACAGUAGUGUUAUGAGAACAACUUAAUUAAAGAUUAGCUUACUGAUGUCUGCUGACAUUUUAUAUUCUGGUUAGUAAAUCCCCACAGAAGUCCUUCCUUUUGCUUAGAAUUCAGUUAGAGCUUUUAAGCCUUCUCUUGAUUUUGUUUGUUUAAGGAUAUUUAUUCUUUUGGUCAAAAUGGUUUUAUUUUUUCACUCCUCUUUUGAUUGGGAAGGGGACAGACAAAGACUUAGCACUGACUUGGUGUAUGAGAUGCACCUGUGUUGGCAAAAGAGUAGUUACAGUAUAAUGUACUUGAAGUAGCUUCCUGCAGCUAAGUGUCUGUAGGCUGCAGCAAGAAUUCUCAAGCACGUACAUUAAUGUCACAUGCUCUUAACCAAGCAAGUCUUUCUUUGUCUCCUGGGACAAAAGGCUUUGACUGCCUUUGAAGCCACAACCAAAUUAAUACUGAUCUUCAGCACCAACACUGCUCCUGAGAUGUAAUGCUGAAGUAGAAAUCUGCCUAUUGACUUUUCUGUCCAGGUUGACAUACAGAUUUUGCCCAGAAGAGACGAAUGGAAGUGUUAAUUACCAAUAAAGAUUCUCAAAACUAGCUUCCUUGCUGCUAUAAACUACUAUAAACUAUAUCUUUUUUUUUUCCUGGUUAUACUAUUGAGUUCUGCUAGCUACGUAACUAAAACAUGCAAAUAAAGUGUAACGGACUACUCAUAGCCAUUCUGUGACCAAGCAUCUUUUAAUAUUUCUAUUGACAAACAUUGUAAGCAAGACCAGAGUGAACUGUAUAUAUCUGGAGCCUAUCCACUGAUAGACUUGAGUCA